AAAAGUUUCACCAUUCCAAUUGGUGGACAUAUAAAUAAAACAUGUUUAGCCAUCAAUCAUUAUCAUUUAGUUUUUCUACAAGCAUUUUUUCCUGAAUCAUGGAAAACAGACCAAAUUACAAAAGCUCAUCAGUGCAAUGCUCAAUUUCACACCAAAACAGACGACUUUGGUUUAAUGCACAAUGUUUCAAGGCAUUCUUAUAUACUAGAAUAUGGCAGAGUGACAAAAGACAAAUAAAAACAAAAAGAGGUUUA